CUCUCCUCACACACCCUUCCUUGCCCCAUUAAGAGGUUCCUGGAAACCCUUCUCAGAGAAAGGAAGAGGGAGGAGGGGAAUGAGGGGGGAAAAAAGAACUUAAUGAAGAAAAUGGUUUUGCGGGGGAGGGGGGGUUACUGAGAUGCAGGAAGUUGGGGCUUUGGUGUUGGGAAGAGAAAAAGGGGGGUCUAGGACCUGGGGGCUCUAGUAAUUUUCCCAUCCUGUCUCACCACCAUAAAGCUGUUGGGGUAGAGUUGUAGGGGGUCAGAUAUUUUGAACACAGUCUCCUCAGAGAAGGAGAUGAAAGCCUGCACAUUACCCUCCACCAAAUGCUCAUUCACAUCCAAUAAAUAUUUAUUGAGCACCUACUAUGUGCCAGGCACUAUUUUAGAAGCUGAGGGAAAAAAGCAGUGAAUUAUACAGGGGAAAAAAGCAGCCAUGUACAAGUUUGGAAGUUACCUUAGUCCCCCCAGUAGGACCUUGGACUCCAGGCUAACACCCCUCAAGAGAAGACUCUGGGAUGGGACUCAAGAAAUCCUAGCCUCGCCUGGCCAGUUGGUUGGGCAUAGUCCUGUGCAUCCAAAGAUCACUGGGUUCCAUUCCCGGCCAGGUCACAUACUCAGGUUGCGGGUUCAAUCCCCAGUCAUGGAGAGUGCGGAGGCAGUGGAUCAAUGUUUCUUUCUCUCUUCAAAUCAAUAAAAACAUUUUGAAAAAUAAAA